ACGUCUACAUUAGAUACCCGGGUAGUCCUAGCCGUAAACGAUACUCGCUAGGUGUCGGCCACGGUGCGACCGUUGUCGGUGCCGUAGGGAAGCCGUGAAGCGAGCCACCUGGGAAGUACGGCCGCAAGGCUGAAACUUAAAGGAAUUGGCGGAGGGGCACAACAACGGGUGGAGCUUGCGGUUUAAUUGGAUUCAACGCCGGAAAUCUUACCGGGACCGACAGCAACAUGAAGGCCAAGCUGAAGACUUUGCCGGAUUAGCUG
rnacentral:rRNA from 1 species